AUCCACCGCGGCCGCUUCCCCCCACCUCGAAGCUCUCUUCUCCAAGUCCCCCCUUCGCUUUGCGAGGGGGCGAAGGGGAGGGGCAAACGCCACGCCAUGGAGAAGGCGGGGCACCAUCUUAUAGGCGCCGGCGGCGGAGGGAAGAGGAGGGGGCCGGCGGCGGCGCCGUUGGGGCUGCAGAAGCAGAACUCGUGGUCGCCGGACAUCGAGCGGGACGAGGCGUGGGAGCGGCGGCGGCGCGGGAUGCACCCCGGGGGUUCGACGCUGCGGCGCGUACGGAGCGUCACGGACGACGACCUCGACGAGCUCCGCGGGUGCAUCGAUCUGGGGUUCAGGUUCGAGCCGGCCGCCGGGUCCGGGUGCGCGGCGUGCGGCGCCGGGAGGACCCGCCUCGUGGAGACGCUCCCCGCGCUGGACAUCUACUACGCCGUGCACGGCGGCAGUGCCGGCGGCGGCGGAGCGGAGGGGUGCGCGUGCUCGUGCGGCGCCGCGUCGGAGGCGUCCUCCGAGGAGUCGCCGCUCGGCAGCCCCAUGUCCAUACUCUCUCCUGGCGACACGCCGGAGACGGUGAAGAUGCGGCUGAAGCAGUGGGCGCAGGUGGUCGCACUCUCCGUGCUCAACCGCCGCUGAGCUCGGGGGAGGCCCUUCCAUCGCCGUCACUACCUUGCAUUGGGGGAGGAGAGAAACAUUCGAGGUCAAGAAGAAAGGAAUCCCCGGCCGCAUCGGGCAGAAAAGAGGAAGAGAAAAGAAGAAAAUAAUUUCUGUUACGGCUUGAUAGAUCAAGAGCAAGAAAUAUAGCUAGGAGGCAACAAAAGCCGUGUUCCAGUAUUUUGCGCUGCUGCUAUACUUACAACCUUUUACGUAGUAUUGUCGUACCACACGUGGAGCUUACACAUGAAAUAAGGUAUUUCUGUGCACGCAUAGAAAUUCUGUAUGAUUCGAUUGGGUUAGAAAAUUGUUUCGGUUGUUGAUUCAGCUGCAGCAUCCUGUGUUCACAUAGGAUAGUUUCUUACGAGUGAGAGCUGUUAUGAACAGACGUCAUUUAGCUUGAUAAGCAUGUGAUGUCAUAUAACUGUCAUUAGCUGUUUUUCUAUGUAAUUAAUAGUUACUAAUGAAGGGACACAUGUGUAUGUAUAUAUGUAAACUCUUCACUAUGUAUGUAUAUGUAAACUCUAUCUAUUAAUCAAUACAAAAUUUUCAUUCUCUUA